CACGAACCGGGCAAACGUUAUUCGGAAUUACUGGGCUUAAAGGGUGCGUAGGCUGCGCUAUAAGUCGGGUGUGAAAUCCCUCAGCUCAACUGAGGAACUGCGCCCGAUACUGUAGUGCUUGAGGAGGAUAGAGGUGAGCGGAACUAGCAGUGGAGCGGUGAAAUGCGUUGAUAUUGCUGGGAACACCCGGUGGCGAAAGCGGCUCACUGGGUC
rnacentral:rRNA from 1 species